CACGGGGGGACUCCUACGGGAGGCAGCAGUGGGGAAUAUUGCACAAUGGGCGCAAGCCUGAUGCAGCGACGCCGCGUGGGGGAUGACGGCCUUCGGGUUGUAAACUCCUUUCAACCAUGACGAAGCUUGGGGGACGGUAGUGGU
rnacentral:rRNA from 1 species